GGAUCAUCACGAGUUAUUGAUAACAGUAUUGAUAGAUAAAAUGUAGUAUUUAAGCAAAUUGUAUUGCUUUAUUCGAUAAUCUACCCAGGUAAACACUCAGAAAAAGAGAUCAAACGAUGAAGCCCUAUGUAUGCCUGCUGGUCGCCUUGGUGUGUAUUUCCAUUAUAACGACGAAGACCUAUGGACAGUUAAUUGGUGGCUCAGAUCUUGGUACUGAGAUUUUUAGCCCGAGUUUGGGGAUACAUGGAACAUUCGGUGGCUUGAGAUGGGGUGGAAGAGGAUGUCGUCGAAGGUGCUUAUGGAGAUACAGAUUUUGCAGACGUCGAAGAUGGUUUAGCUUUAGGUGUAGAUCCCAAAUCAGACGCUGCAUACGGAGGUGCCGUAGGUUCUGACCUACUCUGUUCGUUAUUGUAAUGACGAAAUCAGAUAUGACAGCUUUUGCAAUAAUAAAAAUAUAAUUGCAUUUC